rnacentral:rRNA from 1 species
AUUGAACGCUGGCGGCAGGCCUAACACAUGCAAGUCGAGCGGAUGAAGAGAGCUUGCUCUCUGAUUCAGCGGCGGACGGGUGAGUAAUGCCUAGGAAUCUGCCUGGUAGUGGGGGACAACGUUUCGAAAGGAACGCUAAUACCGCAUACGUCCUACGGGAGAAAGCAGGGGACCUUCGGGCCUUGCGCUAUCAGAUGAGCCUAGGUCGGAUUAGCUAGUUGGUGAGGUAAUGGCUCACCAAGGCGACGAUCCGUAACUGGUCUGAGAGGAUGAUCAGGCACACUGGAACUGAGACACGGUCCAGACGCCUACGGGAGGCAGCAGUGGGGAAUAUUGGACAAUGGGCGAAAGCCUGAUCCAGCCAUGCCGCGUGUGUGAAGAAGGUAUUCGGAUUGUAAAGCACUUUAAGUUGGGAGGAAGGGCAGUAAGUUAAUACCUUGCUGUUUUGACGUUACCGACAGAAUAAGCACCGGCUAACUCUGUGCCAGCAGCCGCAGUAAAAC